GAUGAAGAACGCAGUGAAAUGCGAUAAGUAAUGUGAAUUGCAGAAUUCAGUGAAUCAUCGAAUCUUUGAACGCACAUUGCGCCCCCUGGUAUUCCGGCGGGCAUGCCUGUUCGAGCGUCAUUUCAACCCUCAAGCCCCCGGGUUUGGUGUUGGGGAUCGGCUCUGCCCUUCUGGGCGGUGCCGCCCCCGAAAUACAUUGGCGGUCUCGCUGCAGCCUCCAUUGCGUAGUAGCUACCACCUCGCAACUGGAACGCGGCGCGGCCAUGCCGUAAAACCCCAACUUCUGAAUGUUGACCUCGGAUCAGGUAGGAAUACCCGCUGAACUUAAGCAUAUCAAUAAGCGGAGGA
rnacentral:misc_RNA from 1 species